CCUACGGGUGGCAGCAGUGAGGAAUAUUGGUCAAUGGGCUUACGCCUGAACCAGCCAAGUCGCGUGAGGGAAGACUGCACUAUGGGUUGUAAACCUCUUUUGUCAGGGAGCAACGCCGGCUACGUGUAGCCGGACUGAGAGUACCUGAAGAAAAAGCUUCGACUAACCCCGUGCCAGCAGCCGCGGUAAUACGGAGGAUGCGAGCGUUAUCCGGAUUGAUUGGGUUUAAGGGGUGCGUAGGCGGAAUGCCAAGUCAGCGGUAAAAGCGCGGGGCUCAACCUCGCUCCGCCGUUGAAACUGGCGUUCUUGAGUUGGCGAGAAGUAUGCGGAAUGCGUGGUGUAGCGGUGAAAUGCAUAGAUAUCACGCAGAACUCCGAUUGCGAAGGCAGCAUACCGGCGCCACACUGACGCUGAAGCACGAAAGCGUGGGUAUCGAACAGGAUUAGAUACCCGAGUAGUC
rnacentral:rRNA from 1 species